rnacentral:rRNA from 1 species
GACGUAGGGGGCCAGCGUUGUUCGGAAUUACUGGGCGUAAAGGGCUCGUAGGCGGCCAACUAAGUCCGACGUGAAAUCCCCAGGCUUAACCUGGGAACUGCGUCGGAUACUGGAUGGCUUGAAUCCGGGAGAGGGAUGCGGAAUUCCAGGUGUAGCGGUGAAAUGCGUAGAUAUCUGGAGGAACACCGGUGGCGAAGGCGGCAUCCUGGACCGGUACUGACGCUCAUGUGCGAAAGCGUGGGGAGCAAACAGG